CUCGUUAUCACCUACCCCACAGCCAACAAUGGACCAUUGUGGGCUCCACCUUUUCUUGACCUUCAUUACUUUUUACAUGUAUGUGUUUCAUUUGUUCUAUGGGACCCAACGGGUCCCCCUUGGUCUAGUCUCUCCAUAAAGGGUUUCGAUCCGAAACGUCGCAUAUUCCUUUUCUCCAGAGAUGCUGCCUGGCCCGCUGAAUUACUCCAGCUUUUUGUGUCUAUUUUCCGUAAACCGCCCAAGCGUGUUUUAUAAUGUUUUAUGUGAAAGAUUAUUCAUUCUUUUUGCUAUAAAGUAGACUUUGGUUUUCAGGACAAUGCUGCAUGUGUGAAGCACAAUGUGUCCUCUUCAUUUUGGUGAGCCGAGUUAAAUCUAGAUCUAUCGAAUUAUCAGCUCUGUCCAAGGGCGUCAACUGCGGAUUGAAGAUUCAUCUCGAAACGCUGGGGUUAGUUCACAAAGUGAGUAUGCGUUUCACACACAGUAUAUGUUGGUAACGCUUUACAAGUUCUUAACUCCAACCUCACCGCCCCUCCCUUCCCUCGCCCAAUCACUUCAAUUUGGGUAGGUUUCCGCUGAGCUCAGCUCAAGAGUUGCAAACGGUUUUGUGGUGCUGCCGGUGUUCUGUGUCUUUUAUUCUUCGUGUUUGCAUCAACAGCUGAGGUCCCACGAUGCUGAACAGAAUCUGGAUCUGCGCCUUCAUUUGCUGCAUCGUGGCUUUUGUGAGCGUUUUGGGAGCCGAGGACCCCACCUUAACCUCAACCAAGAAUGAAACAAAGACUGAAAAAGAAUCUGCCGACGGUAAUGGAGUAGCAGGAUUUACCCCAGCCAUUGCCAAAGUCCUGGUUCUAUCCCUCAUUCCAGUCUUCCUGCAGAGAGUUCUGUCUUAAUUCAGUGCUCGAGGUGGCCUCUUCCAGCUGAUUCAUCCAUCACCAUGGAGACCAUCCUGCUCUGCUCGCAUUCAAUCUCCAACUUUGAAAUGAGCCGCUUCAUCUCUGCGCCACCCGUCGAUCACCGACUGAGAUCUGCUUCCCAUUCUUCACUCCCUCUCUCUCGCAGCCUAGCCUCCAAUGUAUUUCCUGAAAAUAAUUUUGCCUGUGAAACAGCUGGAAUCCACAACUUCACUGUUAUCAAGAUCGGAGGAAAAUAAAAUUGAAAGAUAACUAAAGUAUUGCAGAAUUCAUGGAACUGGUUGCCCUGCUGGAAGCUUAACAUGUUCUCUCUUCAUAUUUUACUAUUUUGUUUCCGUGUGAUAUGUUGACAUUUGACUUAAAUCUAUGUAAAAUUAGAGAGCAAUAAAAUAAUUUAAUACUGUG